rnacentral:lncRNA from 1 species
CCCAGGCGGCACGUCAGGUUGGGCCAACGUUGGAAACAUAUUGGCACUUCUUGGCCCAAUGACGGCCUAAGAUUAACAGCGUGGUUCCAAUAUUGGCAGUGCCAUUCUGAUUCCUGGCCCAAUGAUGGCCUAAGGUUAACAGCGUGGCGCCAAUAUUGGCUGUGCCAUUCUGAUAGAGAUCCAACGUUGGCCCACAUUACACAGUCAGUAAACAAUAUUGGCUGUGCCAUUCUGAUAGAGAUCCAAUGUUGGCCCAGUUUACACAGUCAGUAAACAAUAUUGGCACUGCCGUUCAACAAGGCGGGAAUUAUUGGAACGACUUUCGUAUGGAUUUGCCAAUAUGGGUUACUAGUUGGCUUUCUUUGGAGGACAUUGGCCCGUAAUAAGCCAAUUUUCGCCUUGUCGGCUUUUAGUGCUCUACGAAUUGCUGAGAUUGAACAACGUGUUUUGAAAAGUAACGCACUGAUCACAGGCACACUGCGCAGGAACCAGAAAUAUGUUCUCCCAUGUCAACUCCAUGAAUGGUACACCGCCAUUUUUGCACUUCUUCUUUACCGAAAUGCGUCCCCUAAAGAGAAAAGCCAGUGUACCACGUAGCAAGCAGGGGAAGUCGCAUAAAUUUAGCCGCUGCUUUAUUGAUCGUGAAUAAGAACAUGAGCUUUCCAUAAGAAGCAACGGUAUUGCGAAUUUGCCUGCGAUUGUAUAUUUUGCAUGUACGCUCCGCGGCUUUGGUGGGUCAGGAUUCUGAGGAGAAUCGAGAAUUACAGUGCCUCAGAGCUGAUGGAACCGUUUUAUAUUGCAUCGAGAUGGAGCGCAUAUGUAUUAGUGAAACUUUUGUUUGUUUGUUUAGCAUGCAUGGCAUGUUGCGGCGACAUAAUCAUCAUGCUCCUAUUCUGAUAUAUUUGUUUGUUCGUGCAUGUGUAGCAAGCUCCUUGUGUGAAAGCCCCUGACAGAAAGAAAAAAUUAAUUGCACUUUUUGGCAUUUGCGUGUCAACAACCUGUUGCCUUUGCCUUUAGUAGGCACGGCGCAUUCCGGAUUUUUUUUUUUCGGCCUAGCUUUCCGUCUUUAGCCCUCCCUUGCCUCUCGCCCACGCUCCCAGGUGAGCCUGGUCAAUGCUAUCAGUCAAGCGUUCAGACAGCCAUAAGCUGCUGUGUCGAAUUGGGUGCUCUCGGAAGCAUGGGGGAAAGCAGCGGGGUCACUAUUGUCCUCCUUGUCGCCCUCCGUCGCUGUCACCCCAAAACGCGGUCGGGCUAGGUCCAGCGGGGGAAAGUGGCGUUUACGCCGUAUUCUUCGUUCACCCUUUCCUUUCACUCUUUCCUUCUAUGCGUCGCUAGCACGCCGACUGGGUGCAACACCGCCUGAGUGCUUGCCGUCUUGUCCGUUCUUGCCAGCGCACUCCUCUCGUGAAAAAUGCUCGCUUGCGGUCGUCAUUCCUACUGAGAAGCCUACAUCUUGAAAUACGCAGCAAUGUCGCCACGAAUUUUUGUGAGUGUUAGAAUUAAUAUAGAAAAAGUCGGCGCUCGUGGCCACCGUCUUCGAUGUGGGAUGAACUCGGAUACAAAGAAGCAUGGAUCUUACAAUGUGCAAGCAUUUCCUCCAAGUAAUGGUGAAGUCGCUAUGGGAUAUGGUAGCAAUAUCAACGAAACCACCGCGUUAUCGUGGUCCUCGGCGGCCUGAUCAGCCCGCUGUCAUCCAAGCACUGACAAACCUGCCUACCGACGUCAGCUCCCUGCCCUGAAACCCCUGGCCAGCCCACCGUCCUCGGCACCUUGCCCAAUUCCUAUCCUGAGGGCAAUGCCUGUAAAUAAACUGUUUGAAGAUAUCCGAGCGUCACCCAUCUAGGUCCACGGAAAAUGCCUGUUUGUGAAAAUUUAUUCGCAAAUAAACUGUCAUAAACAUCAA